rnacentral:rRNA from 1 species
GAUGAACGCUGGCGGCGUGCCUAAUACAUGCAAGUCGAGCGAACAGACGAGGAGCUUGCUCCUCUGACGUUAGCGGCGGACGGGUGAGUAACACGUGGAUAACCUACCUAUAAGACUGGGAUAACUUCGGGAAACCGGAGCUAAUACCGGAUAAUAUAUUGAACCGCAUGGUUCAAUAGUGAAAGACGGUUUUGCUGUCACUUAUAGAUGGAUCCGCGCCGCAUUAGCUAGUUGGUAGGGUAACGGCUUACCAAGGCAACGAUGCGUAGCCGACCUGAGAGGGUGAUCGGCCACACUGGAACUGAGACACGGUCCAGACUCCUACGGGAGGCAGCAGUAGGGAAUCUUCCGCAAUGGGCGAAAGCCUGACGGAGCAACGCCGCGUGAGUGAUGAAGGUCUUCGGAUCGUAAAACUCUGUUAUUAGGGAAGAACAAAUGUGUAAGUAACUAUGCACGUCUUGAGGGUACCUAAUCAGAAAGCCACGGCUAACUACGUG